UUAAGUUAGAAAGGGCGCACGGUGGAUGCCUUGACACUAGGAGUCGAUGAAGGACGGGACUAACGCCGAUAUGCUUCGGGGAGCUGUAAGUAAGCUUUGAUCCGAAGAUUUCCGAAUGGGGAAACCCACCAUACGUAAUGGUAUGGUAUCCUUAUCUGAAUACAUAGGGUAAGGAAGACAGACUCAGGGAACUGAAACAUCUAAGUACCUGGAGGAAGAGAAAGCAAAUGCGAUUUCCUGAGUAGCGGCGAGCGAAACGGAACAUAGCCCAAACCAAGAGGCUUGCCUCUUGGGGUUGUAGGACAUUCUAUACGGAGUUACAAAGGAACGAGGUAGACGAAGCGACCUGGAAAGGUCCGUCGUAGAGGGUAACAACCCCGUAGUCGAAACUUCGUUCUCUCUUGAAUGUAUCCUGAGUACGGCGGAACACGUGAAAUUCCGUCGGAAUCUGGGAGGACCAUCUCCCAAGGCUAAAUACUCCCUAGUGAUCGAUAGUGAACCAGUACCGUGAGGGAAAGGUGAAAAGCACCCCGGAAGGGGAGUGAAAGAGAUCCUGAAACCGUGUGCCUACAAAUAGUCAGAGCCCGUUAACGGGUGAUGGCGUGCCUUUUGUAGAAUGAACCGGCGAGUUACGAUCCCGUGCGAGGUUAAGCUGAAGAGGCGGAGCCGCAGCGAAAGCGAGUCUGAAUAGGGCGUUUAGUACGUGGUCGUAGACCCGAAACCAGGUGAUCUACCCAUGUCCAGGGUGAAGUUCAGGUAACACUGAAUGGAGGCCCGAACCCACGCACGUUGAAAAGUGCGGGGAUGAGGUGUGGGUAGCGGAGAAAUUCCAAUCGAACCUGGAGAUAGCUGGUUCUCCCCGAAAUAGCUUUAGGGCUAGCCUUAAGUGUAAGAGUCUUGGAGGUAGAGCACUGAUUGGACUAGGGGUCCUCAUCGGAUUACCGAAUUCAGUCAAACUCCGAAUGCCAAUGACUUAUCCUUAGGAGUCAGACUGCGAGUGAUAAGAUCCGUAGUCAAAAGGGAAACAGCCCAGACCGCCAGCUAAGGUCCCAAAGUGUGUAUUAAGUGGAAAAGGAUGUGGAGUUGCUUAGACAACUAGGAUGUUGGCUUAGAAGCAGCCACCAUUUAAAGAGUGCGUAAUAGCUCACUAGUCGAGUGACUCUGCGCCGAAAAUGUACCGGGGCUAAAUACACCACCGAAGCUGCGGAUUGAUACCAAUGGUAUCAGUGGUAGGGGAGCGUUCUAAGGACAGUGAAGUCAGACCGGAAGGACUGGUGGAGUGCUUAGAAGUGAGAAUGCCGGUAUGAGUAGCGAAAGACGGGUGAGAAUCCCGUCCACCGAAUGCCUAAGGUUUCCUGAGGAAGGCUCGUCCGCUCAGGGUUAGUCAGGACCUAAGCCGAGGCCGACAGGCGUAGGCGAUGGACAACAGGUUGAUAUUCCUGUACCACCUCUUUAUCGUUUGAGCAAUGGAGGGACGCAGAAGGAUAGAAGAAGCGUGCGAUUGGUUGUGCACGUCCAAGCAGUUAGGCUGAUAAGUAGGCAAAUCCGCUUAUCGUGAAGGCUGAGCUGUGAUGGGGAAGCUCCUUAUGGAGCGAAGUCUUUGAUUCCCCGCUGCCAAGAAAAGCUUCUAGCGAGAUAAAAGGUGCCUGUACCGCAAACCGACACAGGUAGGCGAGGAGAGAAUCCUAAGGUGUGCGAGAGAACUCUGGUUAAGGAACUCGGCAAAAUGACCCCGUAACUUCGGGAGAAGGGGUGCUUUCUUAACGGAAAGCCGCAGUGAAUAGGCCCAAGCGACUGUUUAGCAAAAACACAGCUCUCUGCGAAGCCGUAAGGCGAAGUAUAGGGGGUGACACCUGCCCGGUGCUGGAAGGUUAAGGAGAGGGGUUAGCGUAAGCGAAGCUCUGAACUGAAGCCCCAGUAAACGGCGGCCGUAACUAUAACGGUCCUAAGGUAGCGAAAUUCCUUGUCGGGUAAGUUCCGACCCGCACGAAAGGUGUAACGAUUUGGGCACUGUCUCAACCAGAGACUCGGUGAAAUUAUAGUACCUGUGAAGAUGCAGGUUACCCGCGACAGGACGGAAAGACCCCGUGGAGCUUUACUGUAGCCUGAUAUUGAAUUUUGGUACAGUUUGUACAGGAUAGGCGGGAGCCUUUGAAACCGGAGCGCUAGCUUCGGUGGAGGCGCUGGUGGGAUACCGCCCUGACUGUAUUGAAAUUCUAACCUACGGGUCUUAUCGACCCGGGAGACAGUGUCAGGUGGGCAGUUUGACUGGGGCGGUCGCCUCCUAAAGUGUAACGGAGGCGCCCAAAGGUUCCCUCAGAAUGGUUGGAAAUCAUUCGUAGAGUGCAAAGGCAUAAGGGAGCUUGACUGCGAGACCUACAAGUCGAGCAGGGACGAAAGUCGGGCUUAGUGAUCCGGUGGUUCCGCAUGGAAGGGCCAUCGCUCAACGGAUAAAAGCUACCCCGGGGAUAACAGGCUUAUCUCCCCCAAGAGUCCACAUCGACGGGGAGGUUUGGCACCUCGAUGUCGGCUCAUCGCAUCCUGGGGCUGUAGUCGGUCCCAAGGGUUGGGCUGUUCGCCCAUUAAAGCGGUACGCGAGCUGGGUUCAGAACGUCGUGAGACAGUUCGGUCCCUAUCCGUCGUGGGCGUAGGAAAUUUGAGAGGAGCUGUCCUUAGUACGAGAGGACCGGGAUGGACGCACCGCUGGUGUACCAGUUGUUCUGCCAAGGGCAUAGCUGGGUAGCUAUGUGCGGAAGGGAUAAGUGCUGAAAGCAUCUAAGCAUGAAGCCCCCCUCAAGAUGAGAUUUCCCAUAGCGUAAGCUAGUAAGAUCCCUGAAAGAUGAUCAGGUUGAUAGGUUCGAGGUGGAAGCAUGGUGACAUGUGGAGCUGACGAAUACUAAUAGAUCGAGGACUUAACCAU
rnacentral:rRNA from 1 species